rnacentral:lncRNA from 1 species
UCGGAGUAUGGGUUCUUUUUUGAAGUUGAUGUAUUGUAUCUUGUAACGACUUAUGAAUUUUCUUUUUUCAAGGGCUGUUUUGGGUGGAGGUCUGGAGCCUCAGAUUGCUAAGAAUGCCGAGGGUCUAGUGCUUGAGCUACCGUCAGAGUCCGAGUUUCGAAGAGCUAUCCAGAGCUUUUAGGUGUGUGAUCUUAUCGUAUUUUGACAAAUCUUGAUGUCUUGCUUUUGAGUUGCUUGCAGGACCUAUAUGAUAGAGCCCAAAGGAAUGCUCAGGCCCUCCAGGAGCGAAAUGACACUGUGCAAUGAGUGGCACAACUGAAGCAAGAAUGUAGCCGUCUUACAGAGUCCUUG